rnacentral:rRNA from 1 species
GUACAAUAAGCUAAAUAAGGGCGUAUGGGGAAUGCCUAGGCUCUCAGAGGCGAAGAAGGACGUGAUAAGCUGCGAAAAGCUGCGGGGAUCGGCACACACGAAUUGAUCCGCAGAUAUCCGAAUGGGGCAACCCGGCAUAUUGAAGAUAUGCCACCUCGCAAGAGGAGCAAACCCGGAGAACUGAAACAUCUAAGUACCCGGAGGAGAAGAAAACAAAAGUGAUUCCGUUAGUAGUGGCGAGCGAACGCGGAUCAGCCCAAACCGGUAUUGUUACGGCAAUGCCGGGGUUGUAGGACCACGAUAUUCGAAGCGCGAUGAAUUAGAACUGUUUGGAAAGACAGACCAGAGAGGGUGAUAGUCCCGUACAAGUAAAGAACGUUGAGAUAGUGGUAUCCUGAGUAGCGCGGGACACGAGUAAUCCUGUGCGAAACAGUCGGGACCAUCCGAUAAGGCUAAAUACUCCUGAGAGACCGAUAGUGAACUAGUACCGUGAGGGAAAGGUGAAAAGAACCCUGAAUAAGGGAGUGAAACAGAACCUGAAACCAUACGCUUACAAGCGGUCGGAGCCCAUUAGGGUGACGGCGUGCCUUUUGCAUAAUGAGCCUACGAGUUACCGUUGCUAGCAAGGUUAAGGACUUCAGGUCCGGAUCCGUAGCGA